UACGUAGGGGGCAAGCGUUGUCCGGAUUUAUUGGGCGUAAAGAGCGUGUAGGCGGCUUUGCAAGUCCGUUGUGAAAACUCGAGGCUCAACCUCGAGACGCCGGUGGAAACUGCAAAGCUAGAGUCCGGAAGAGGAGAGUGGAAUUCCUGGUGUAGCGGUGAAAUGCGCAGAUCUCAGGAAGAACACCCGUGGCGAAGGCGGCUCUCUGGAACGGUACUGACGCUGAGACGCGAAAGCGUGGGGAGCGAACAGG
rnacentral:rRNA from 1 species